ACCAGCAAUGCCACUUCUGGGUAUACACACAAAAGAAUUGAAAGCAGCGUCUCGAAAAGAUACUUGUACACCAAUUUCAUGGCAGCAUUAUUCACAAUAGCUAAAACAGGGAAGCAACCCUAAUGUCCAUUGACAGAUGGAUAGAUAAGCAAAAUGUGGUAUAUACAUACAAUGGAAUUUUUUUUUUUUUUCCCAUGUAGACGUUUCCAGGCCAGGGAUCGAACCUGAGUCACAGCAGCCAUCCAAGCCAUAGCAGUGAUAAUGCUGGAUCCUUAACCACUGAGCCACCAGAGAACUUCCAUACAAUGGGAUGUUAUUCGGCCUUAAAGAGGAGGAAAUUCUCUUUUUUUUUUUUUUUUUUUUUUGUCUUUUUGCUAUUUCUUGCACAUGGAGGUUCCCAGGCUAGGGAGUGAAAUCUUCAGACUCUAAGUUAAAGGGGCAUAUAAAAAUGUUACUAGCAUGGGCGGCAAAAGCAGCACUACCUAUGGGAAAAGCAGCCAAUCUCUGGCAAUGAAUAAGUGUAAUUGAUCACAAAAGAUGACUUGAUGGCCCUUCCAAACGUGCUUUUAGCAAAGUGGACAGUUUUUCAUUCAAAUGCAAGCUCACCCAGAUAAAAUCUAAUAAUGGAGACUUUGGAACAAUCCCAGCGUCAGCAAUUCCUUUUUUUCCCCCACUCUCCUUCUCUGAACAGGAAGGCAUCUUAAGUUCCUGGUCACAGCUUGACCUAAUCAGAUGACAAUUUAUGCUUUCCCUAAGGCUGAGGAGACCCUGACAGUCCCUGGGGCAGCAAAAGGUGAGUUGCAGGACCGUCCACCUCCCUGUCUGUAGCCCCUUUCCCGCUCCCUGACCUGAGCUGGGUGGCUGGUAGGCUAGGGGUCGAGCCAGAGCUACAGCUACUGGUCUACACCACAGCCAUAGCAAUGCCAGAUCCGAGCGGCGUCUGCAACCUACACCACAGCUCAUGGCAAUGCCAGAUCCUUAACCCACUGAGUGAGGCCAGGGAUCAAACCUGAAACCUCAUGGUUCCGAGUCGGAUUCCUUUCCUCUGCGCCCCACAAGGCGAACUCCAAGUACUUAAUCUUUCUGAGCUUCAGUUUCCACCUUCAUCAAAUGAAAACACUGCACUAGACAAGAUCUCUGAGCACAAGGGCAGCUUGAAAACUGUGAUUCUAAACGCUCCCCUUCCCACUCAGGCUCCUAGGCUCCUAGGAAGUGACAGAUCAGGUGCCACCUUCUUUCCUCGGAAGAGAACACUCAGCAAAGGAAGAGGCUGGUGAGGAUUAUGGACCUUUUCCUCAGUGAGAGGGUCUUUCAUGUUGGCCAGAGUGCAAGCUGCAGGCUGGAGAAGAUGAGAGAUAAGUUCAGAAAAUUCAGCGGAAGAUUUAGACUUCCACGUCAAGCAAUCUGGGGGAGAUGGGUGCCACUGGAGUUUGUUCAGAGAAGGCUACAA
rnacentral:lncRNA from 1 species